rnacentral:rRNA from 1 species
ACGCUGGCGGCACGCCUAACACAUGCAAGUCGAACGAAGUAGCAAUACUUAGUGGCAGACGGGUGAGUAACAUGUGGGUAUCUGCCCUUUGGCCUGGAAUAACACGAGGAAACUUGUGCUAAUACCGGAUAAGUCUUUACGGAGAAAGCUUUAUGCACCAUUGGAUGAGCCCGCACUUGAUUAGUUUGUUGGUGGGGUAAUGGCCUACCAAGACUGUGAUCAAUAGCUGAUUUGAGAGGAUGAUCAGCCACAUUGGGACUGAGACACGGCCCAAACUCCUACGGGAGGCAGCAGUGGGGAAUCUUGCACAAUGGAGGAAACUCUGAUGCAGCGAUGCCGCGUGAGUGAAGAAGGCCCUUGGGUUGUAAAGCUCUUUCGUCGGGGAAGAAAAUGACUGUACCCGAAUAAGAAGGUCCGGCUAACUUCGUGCCAGCAGCCGCGGUAAUACGAAGGGACCUAGCGUAGUUCGGAAUUACUGGGCUUAAAGAGUUCGUAGGUGGUUGAAAAAGUUAGUGGUGAAAUCCCAGAGCUUAA